rnacentral:rRNA from 1 species
CUACGUGCCAGCAGCCGCGGUAAUACGGAAGGUCCGGGCGUUAUCCGGAUUUAUUGGGUUUAAAGGGAGCGUAGGCCGGAGAUUAAGUGUGUUGUGAAAUGUAGACGCUCAACGUCUGACUUGCAGCGCAUACUGGUUUCCUUGAGUACGCACAACGUUGGCGGAAUUCGUCGUGUAGCGGUGAAAUGCUUAGAUAUGACGAAGAACUCCGAUUGCGAAGGCAGCUGACGGGAGCGCAACUGACGCUUAAGCUCGAAGGUGCGGGUAUCGAACAGGAUUAGAUACCCUGGUAGUCCACACAGUAAACGAUGUAUACUCGCGGUUUGCGAUAGACAGUAAGCCGCCAAGCGAAAGCAUUAAGUAUACCACCUGGGGAGUACGCCGGCAACGGUGAAACUCAAAGGAAUUGACGGGGGCCCGCACAAGCGGAGGAACAUGUGGUUUAAUUCGAUGAUACGCGAGGAACCUUACCCGGGCUUGAAC